UACAGAGGUCUCAAGCGUUGUUCGGAUUCAUUGGGCGUAAAGGGUGUGUAGGUGGCGCGCUAAGUCGGGUGUGAAAUUUCGGAGCUUAACUCCGAAACUGCAUUCGAUACUGGCGUGCUUGAGGACUGGAGAGGAGACUGGAAUUUACGGUGUAGCAGUGAAAUGCGUAGAUAUCGUAAGGAAGACCAGUGGCGAAGGCGGGUCUCUGGACAGUUCCUGACGCUGAGGCACGAAGGUCAGGGGAGCAAACGGGG
rnacentral:rRNA from 1 species